UUUUUUUUAAAUGUAUGCAAUAUAAUGUUUAGGAUUUGGUUGAUUUCUGCUGUUCUUGGUUUCUGUGUGGUUUGCUGUUGAGGUUUCUGUGUGCGUUGUGUGCAGGGGAAGAAGACGUCCACGCCCUGAAACGGAUGUCGUACAUCCGUUUGGCCCUGAAGCGGAUGUCGACAUCCGUCGACGAAUGUCGAUAUCUGUCUCGCCUCGCCUAGCCGCUUUUUAACAGGUUAAAGGUCCGAGCACCAGGACUUGAUAUCUCACUUGUAUCACAAUCACCACUUGAACAACAAUCAUCAAUUGAACGAGAGUGAGGAGAGAAAAAAUUUCUGAAAGAAUAGGAGAAAGAAUUUCGAGGGGGUGAAAGAUGAAAGCAUGAAAAUAAAAAGUAAAUUUUGACUAAAGAAUAAAAUUGGAAUAAAAAAAAUAGAAUAAAAGAUAAAAGUGUAAGGGAGAGGUGUAGGGAGCAAGUGGAGAGGUAAAAGGAGUAACUCACUGCUCAAAAAAGUUUGACUUCUCAAGAAGAAAGUU
rnacentral:lncRNA from 1 species